GCGGGCUUAGCUCAGUUGGGAGAGCGUCAGACUGAAGUCAAAACUUCACCGUCUAUCUGAAGGUCGUGUGUUCGAUCCACACAGACCGCA